rnacentral:rRNA from 1 species
UUUGAAAUCUGGCUUCGGCCCGAGUUGUAAUUUGCAGAGGAUGUUUCUGGCGCGGUGCCUUCCGAGUUCCCUGGAACGGGACGCCACAGAGGGUGAGAGCCCCGUAUGGUUGGACACCAAGCCUGUGUGAAACUCCUUCGACGAGUCGAGUAGUUUGGGAAUGCUGCUCAAAAUGGGAGGUAAAUCUCUUCUAAAGCUAAAUACCGGCCAGAGACCGAUAGCGCACAAGUAGAGUGAUCGAAAGAUGAAAAGCACCUUGAAAAGGGGGUUAAACAGUACGUGAAAUUGUUGAAAGGGAAGCGCUUGUGACCAGACUUGCGCCGGGCGGUUCAUCCGGGGUUCUCCCCGGUGCACUCCGCCCGGCUCAGGCCAGCAUCGGUUCUCGUUGGGGGAUAAGAACGGCAGGAACGUGGCCCUCCUUCGGGUGGGUGUUAUAGCCUGCCGUACGAUACCCUGACGGGGACCGAGGUUCGCGCUCCGCAAGGAUGCUGGCGUAAUGGUCAUCAGCGACCCGUCUUGAAACACGGACCAAGGAGUCGUCCAUUAGAGCGAGCGUUUGGGUGUCAAACCCGCACGCGUAA